ensembl:lncRNA LINC02241 long intergenic non-protein coding RNA 2241
GAGCUGCCAUGUACUAGGCCACGUGGCAAGGGCCUGGUUGGGGACCUCCAGGGGUUGAGAGCAUCCUCUGGACAACAUGGAAAAAGAAAAUGAAAAUGGUGACCUCAGCCCUAUAGCUAGAAGGAAUUGAAUCCUGUCAACAACGAUACUCAUCACUCACUGCAGAUGUUACUUUAAGACAUUCUGGAGCAGCGUCAUGUGCAGGUGCGUAGUGCCUCCGCCCAUCUCUCUCUUGCUCCUGGUCUCAUCGUGACGGGCCUGGUCCUGCCUCACUUUAUGCCACGACUAAGAGCUCCCUGAGGCCUCUCCAGAAGCAGAUAUCACUAUGCUUCCUACACAGCCUGCAGAACCGAACAAUAAGGAAGUGAGUGCUUUUGUAAUUCCUGAACAACUGUGUCUUACACUUACUAAGUUCUCUUGCCUGCCACCAUGUAAGAUAUGCUUUUACUCUUCCGCCUUCCACCGUGACUGUGAGGCCUCCCCAGCCAUGUGAAACUGCCUUUGAGCUUAUACUGAAUUAUACCACCAGCUUUCCUAGGUCUUGAAGCUUACAGACAGCAGAUCUUGGGACUUCUCAGGCACCAUAAUCAAUCAUAGAUAAAUGAUCCAAUGAUUCGGAACUUGAAAAGUGGUAGCUUUAUGAAUUCUCCUUAAGAAGAAACCUGUGCCCUGAUCUUGCCUACUCACCCAAAGGCACUGUGAGAUAGCAUCAAAGGAACAGCUAGUAAGAGACACAGAGCCAGAAAUCAGGGAAGUAAAAUACACUUGACAUCUACGUUCGGAAAGAAAUUUUAGGAGGCAGAAGCAAAUGGAUCAGAAGCUGCUUAUAUUUUUGCAAGAUUACCAAAGAAACCAUUGGUGGAGAAAGUUCUGUGACCAACUUGUCUGAGUCUAGUAAGAUUGAACGCUCACACACAAGUUUCAUGAAGUGGGUUUGAUACUUACAGAUAAGCAGCAAGGACCAACAGAAGCUGAUGAUCUAUGGUGAACUUUUUCCCAAGGCUCCGGAAAGCUGCCUAAAGUAGAUGGAGUCUUCUCUGUGUGUGCCCCACUGGUCCUGCAGUUGAAGGAUCCGGUAAAGCAGCCUGCCCUUGGUUUUAUACUCCAGAGGAACGUGAUUCGCUGGACUAAAGCAUUGAAGUGCAUCCUGUUUCCGGGGGGCACUGGAACAGAGCCUGGUCUGUUCUAGCCAGUCCCUUUCUAUCUCAGGAUAACAUUCUACAGUUAUUCUUGAGAACUAUAAUCAAAUAAGCAGGGAGAACUGGGAAAGCAGAGGCUCAUUGUGGAACCCUCAAGGAGCAUGGGGUCGUCUUCAUCCCUCAGUUUAUAAAUGGCCAAGGAGAGUAAUGCAACAAAAACUUCUCAGAGUUAAAAGCCAGAGUUCCUAAAGAACCGUGGACAAAGGGUUCUGUCUAGUGGGCAGAAUUCAUCCAGCGAAGGUGCUUACUGCACUCCCAGCAUGUGCUUGGGAACUUUAUUAAAAUUCCUUCCUAUUGAGAUUUAAAUUGCUGUCCAGAAUUAUACAAUAUAAUGAAUGGGGGCAUUCAUUAUGUGUAUUCUAUGCCUUCUCCAUCAUUGCAUAUUCAGUCCUCGUGCUAGAGAGAGGCAGAUAAUCUACCUUUUAAAUUGAUAGGUCUCCUAACUACAGAGGGUCACAUCUGGAUCUGAUGGCACCUACAGAACUUGGACUCUGAGCGACAAUCAGUGACCAGGAAAUUUGGAACCCAGGUUUUCCCAACCUACAUCUACAAAAUGGAAUGGGUCUGAUUCGCAAGUUUUCAGAGAAAGAAGCCAACCUUAAUCAGACUGUGAUAUGAUGAGGAAAUAAAACUUGCUGUGCUAAUCAA